AAAUAUCUUAUAAAUUAAUAAAAUUCAAGAUAAAAUACUUAAAAAAAUAACCAACACCUUAUUAAUUGACAUCCUUACACUAUCAUGAUAAAAAAAGUGUGAUGAAUAAGGUUCGUGGCACAUUGCUGCAAUUGGUAACAUUCCCAAAACAAGAGAAUCUGUCGGUGACCACUGCCCCUUUGGCAGUAUCAGCGUUGAGUUGCAGAAUAUGGCAAAAAGGGGCAAAUGUAUACUUCCAAACCUACAAAUCUGAAACCAUAAGGUUAACUGCGACUUGGCACGAUGCAAUUGGUUACUAUUAGAGAUGCCAUGAUCUUCAACACGUGGUGGGAGACAAAAUCAUUUCCUUUCGUUUUUUCCAUCUAAUAAAAAUAUAUCAAAAAGCAAGAAAUUAAUCCAAUGUGCACGAUCUUCAAUGUAGAUACGACCUGCUAAAAGUAUGGAAAAGCAUAAAAUUCUUCCAAUUGAUAGUCAAAGUUACAAAAUAUAAGAAGAAAAUGUACCACCCAAUUAGAAGAAGAAAGAGAAUAAUAUUGCUAGGAAAACCAUGCAUGGAGCCAUAACCAAAGAGAGUAUUUCAACACGCCUCGCUGAUGAA
rnacentral:lncRNA from 1 species